rnacentral:ncRNA from 1 species
AGUCGUAUAACUCAACAAAUACUAAUAUUUAACCUAUUGGAAUAACAUGUAUAAUCUAUGAGUUAUAGUCUUUGGUUGGGGUGACCUCGGAGCAUAAAAGAACCUCCGAAUGAAUAAAACCAAGAUUAACAAAUCUAAGUGUAAUAUUACCAGUAAUUGACCCAUAUUUUGAUCAACGGAACAAGUUACCCCAGGGAUAACAGCGCAAUCCUAUUUGAGAGCCCAUAUCGAAAACAGGGUUUACGACCUCGAUGUUGGAUCAGGACAUCCAAAUGGUGCAACCGCUAUUAAAGGUUCGUUUGUUCAACGAUUAAAAGUCCUACGUGAUCUGAGUUCAGACCGGAGAAAUCCAGGUCGGUUUCUAUCUGU